rnacentral:rRNA from 1 species
GAACCUGCGGAAGGAUCAUUAGUGAAGAAACAAGGGUUUUGAGACUGCGUCCUUCAAUUGGGCGUGUGCUCGACUCUUACUCUUUCAUAUCCCAUACACACCUUUGUGCACCAAGGGGACCCUUGUGUCCCCCCUUUUUUCAUAAAUACCGAGUUAUAUGCAUGUAUAGUUUGUAUACUCUACGGAGUUAUUAUAAAUACAACUUUCAACAACGGAUCUCUUGGCUUUCGCAUCGAUGAAGAACGCAGCGAACGUGCGAAACGUAAUGUGAAUUGCAGAAUUCAGUGAAUCAUCGAAUCUUUGAACGCAUCUUGCGCUCCUUGGUAUUCCGAGGAGCAUGCCUGUUUGAGUGUCGUGAAUAACUCUCAAUUUCAAAUAUUUUAGAAUAUCUGACAUUGGACUUGGGCGUUGUCGUGUUUCUACGACUCGUCCUAAAUGCAUUAGCGAUCUGCCCUGAUCACACACAAUGUGAUAAGUAAAAAAUAAAGCAUUGUUAUGGUUGGGUUUGAAAGAUGGCUUCUAAUCGUCGUAAUGACAAAUAAAAGACCAUGUCGUUUGACCUCAAAUCAGGCAGGACUACCCGCUGAACUUAAGCAUAUCAAUAAGCGGAGGAAAAGAAACUAACAAGGAUUCCCCUAGUAACGGCAAGUGAAAAGGGAAAAGCUCAAAUUUAAAAUCUGGCGGUCUACGGCCGUCCAAGUUGUAAUCUAGAGAAGUGUUUUCCGCGCUGGACCGUGUACAAGUCCUUUGGAACAAGGCGUCAUAGAGGGUGAGAAUCCCGUCUACAACACGGACUGCCAAGCGCUUUGUGAUACACUCUCAACGAGUCGAGUUGUUUGGGAAUGCAGCUCAAAAUGGGUGGUAAAUUCCAUCUAAAGCUAAAUAUUGGCGAAAGACCGAUAGCGAACAAGUACCGUGAGGGAAAGA